GAAAAGACAUGGUCUCUUCUAAGGAACAAUGUGCACUAUAAUAAAGGAGAAAGUCACACAAAAAUAUAAAAUACAGUAUGACAAGAGAUAAAGGACAGGAAAAUCCGUGCAGAGUGAUUUAAAUUCAUAUUAAAGAAAUGAAAGUGUAAGGAGAAUGGGAGGCAUCCAAUGCCAGACACUAAGGCAACAAGCAUUAGAGAAUCUCAACAGCCUUCUUGCCCCUGUGUUCCCAAACUGCCACACCCUGCUGCAGCCUGAGUGGUGGAGAGAAACCGGCCUGAACUGGUGGCACUGACAGAGUUACACACUGUCCUGCAUUUAUCCUGGGGCCUCAUACCUCAGAGGACUGGAGGAAGACUUAUGAACUGAUCCUUCUUGCUCUGAGAAUUAGAAUGGUCUCUAAUGACAAGAGGAACUAUUC